rnacentral:rRNA from 1 species
AGUGAACGCUGGCGGUAGGCCUAACACAUGCAAGUCGAACGGCAGCACAGUAAGAGCUUGCUCUUACGGGUGGCGAGUGGCGGACGGGUGAGGAAUACAUCGGAAUCUACUUUUUCGUGGGGGAUGACGUAGGGAAACUUACGCUAAUACCGCAUACGACCUACGGUGAAAGCAGGGGAUCUUCGGACCUUGCGCGAUUGAAUGAGCCGAUGUCGGAUUAGCUAGUUGGCGGGGUAAAGGCCCACCAAGGCGACGAUCCGUAGCUGGUCUGAGAGGAUGAUCAGCCACACUGGAACUGAGACACGGUCCAGACUCCUACGGGAGGCAGCAGUGGGGAAUAUUGGACAAUGGGCGCAAGCCUGAUCCAGCCAUACCGCGUGGGUGAAGAAGGCCUUCGGGUUGUAAAGCCCUUUUGUUGGGAAAGAAAAGCAGCAGGUUAAUACCCCGCUGUUCUGACGGUACCCAAAGAAUAAGCACCGGCUAAUUUCGUG